rnacentral:rRNA from 1 species
AUUGAACGCUGGCGGCAGGCCUAACACAUGCAAGUCGAACGAGUGGCGGACGGGUGAGUAAUGUGUGGGAAACUGCGCGAUGGAGGGGGGUAACUACUGGAAAAGGUAGCUAAUAGCGCAUACCAUGGGAUGUGCACAGAUGGGAUUAGCUAGUAGGUGGGGUAACGGCUCACCUAGGCGACGAUCCCUAGCUGGUCUGAGAGGAUGACCAGCCACACUGGAACGGAGACACGGUCCAGACUCCUACGGGAGGCAGCAGUGGGGAAUAUUGCACAAUGGGCGCAAGCCUGAUGCAGCCAUGCCGCGUGUAUGAAGAAGGCCUUCGGGUUGUAAAGUACUUUCAGCGAGGAGGCGUUACUCGCAGAAGAAGCACCGGCUAACUCCGUGCCAGCCGCCGCGGUAAUUC